rnacentral:rRNA from 1 species
GUGCAGCCGCCGCGGUAAUACCGGCAGUCCGAGUGAUGGCCGAUCUUAUUGGGCCUAAAGCGUCCGUAGCUGGCCGCACUAGUCCAUCGGAAAAUCCAGGGGCCCAACGGGUGGGCGUCCGGUGGAAACUGUGUGGCUUGGGACCGGAAGGCGCGACGGGUACGUCCGGGGUAGGAGUGAUUUCCCGUAAUCCUGGACGGACCGCCGAUGGCGAAAGCACGUCGCGAGGACGGAUCCGACAGUGAGGGACGAAAGCCAGGGUCUCGAACCGGAUUAGAUACCCCAGUAGUCC